rnacentral:rRNA from 1 species
UACGUAGGGUGCAGGCGUUAAUCGGAAUUACUGGGCGUAAAGCGUGCGCAGGCGGUUUCUUAAGUCAGAUGUGAAAGCCCCGGGCUUAACCUGGGAACUGCGUUUGAAACUGGGAGACUUGAGUGCGGCAGAGGGGGGUGGAAUUCCACGUGUAGCAGUGAAAUGCGUAGAUAUGUGGAGGAACACCGAUGGCGAAGGCAGCCCCCUGGGUUAACACUGACGCUCAUGCACGAAAGCGUGGGGAGCAAACAGG